ACAUUUGAUUUUUACAUCAUGAAUAUUUUUAAUUAAAAUUAAAAAAAAAGAUAUACACCCCCUUUAGUUUCAUUCAUGGGCUCUGUUAGUUCACACUUUGAGGAUGACCAUUUGGUGUUCUGAAAAGGGGGAGGUGGGAAUGUAAUAAUAAUUUUAUUAUUCAAUAUUGAAUUACAUUGUGUGCCUUCACAAUCAAGAAAGAUGUUUACAGUUUACUACACAAUGUCAGGCACAUUCAACUUAAUUUUGUCAUGUUCUGAUUUGGAUGGACAUGCAACACAAAAAAUCCCUAAAGGUUAAUAUUGUGUUUUAGAGUCUUUAUACUUAACUGAAAGAAGCUUCUUAAUUAUAUAUGUACAUUGUAUGAUAAAUAUCAGUAAUAUAUGAUGCAUACAGGUCAUGACCAGAUUUAAAAAUUAUUAAUAAAAUGUUUUUACAUUUUUUUUUAGGUUGUCCAUAUAUUAAAAGGGAUUGAUCAUGGUGAAGGUACAAAGCUGCAAAAAUGAUGACUGUGCAUCGAUCAAUAUCCACUCAAUAAUAUGAAAACAAACGAACCAGCAGCAGAAAAGAAAUUUGAGUAUAAGAUUAUUGAAAGAUUAAUCAAUGAAGACUUAAUGGAACAGGAUUGGAAUGCAGAAACUUUGGACUUAAUUCAUGAAUAAUAUCAAUGGAUGAAGAAAACUGACCAAACUGACAAAGUAUUUCGUAUGCAUGUAAACUGGACAUUUUUGUUUGUUUAAUGCACAAUAAACAAAUUUGUAAAAUUUAAAAUUAAAACUAUUUGUGAAAGAUUUCAAGAGGACCAAAUGUUACCAUGGACUUAUGAAUGAUUUAACCAGAAAAAUGAUUUACAUGUACAAUUAAGUAAAUACAUCUUUGACUAAAAAAUGAUAAUUUAUCAACGUUAAUAUUUUAAAGAGGUUGAUCUUUUCGUUUAAAAGGUCUUAAAUGUGGAUGAUGUAUAAACUGUUGUAAUUUCUUUAAUUGUUGACUUGCAUUAAAAUGGUUAUUGUCUUA